rnacentral:rRNA from 1 species
UACAGAGGUCCCAAGCGUUGUUCGGAUUCACUGGGCGUAAAGGGCGCGUAGGCGGCCUGGCAAGUGGAAGGUGAAAUCCCUCGGCUUAACCGAGGAACUGCCUCCCAAACUGCUUGGCUUGAGACCAGGAGAGGUGAGUGGAAUUCCCAGUGUAGCGGUGAAAUGCGUAGAUAUUGGGAGGAACACCAGUGGCGAAGGCGGCUCACUGGACUGGUACUGACGCUGAGGCGCGAAAGCGUGGGGAGCAAACGGG